ensembl:rRNA 5S_rRNA 5S ribosomal RNA
UUGACUAGCCAUAUCACCCUGCAGCCUAAUACUGGUUACUCACUGAAGCUAAGCAGAGCUGAGCUUGGUCAUUACCUGGAUGGGAGACCACGUGGGAAAACUAGGUUGCUGUUGGAA